rnacentral:rRNA from 1 species
AUUGAACGCUGGCGGCAGGCCUAACACAUGCAAGUCGAGCGGAUGAAGGGAGCUUGCUCCUGGAUUCAGCGGCGGACGGGUGAGUAAUGCCUAGGAAUCUGCCUGGUAGUGGGGGAUAACGUCCGGAAACGGGCGCUAAUACCGCAUACGUCCUGAGGGAGAAAGUGGGGGAUCUUCGGACCUCACGCUAUCAGAUGAGCCUAGGUCGGAUUAGCUAGUUGGUGGGGUAAAGGCCUACCAAGGCGACGAUCCGUAACUGGUCUGAGAGGAUGAUCAGUCACACUGGAACUGAGACACGGUCCAGACUCCUACGGGAGGCAGCAGUGGGGAAUAUUGGACAAUGGGCGAAAGCCUGAUCCAGCCAUGCCGCGUGUGUGAAGAAGGUCUUCGGAUUGUAAAGCACUUUAAGUUGGGAGGAAGGGCAGUAAGCUAAUACCUUGCUGUUUUGACAUUACCAACAGAAUAAGCACCGGCUAACUUCGUG